UACAGAGGGUGCAAGCGUUAAUCGGAAUUACUGGGCGUAAAGCGUGCGCAGGCGGUUUCGUAAGACAGGCGUGAAAUCCCCGGGCUCAACCUGGGAACUGCGCUUGUGACUGCGAGGCUAGAGUGUGUCAGAGGGAGGUGGAAUUCCACGUGUAGCAGUGAAAUGCGUAGAGAUGUGGAGGAACACCGAUGGCGAAGGCAGCCUCCUGGGAUAACACUGACGCUCAUGCACGAAAGCGUGGGGAGCAAACAGG
rnacentral:rRNA from 1 species